GCGGGGUUGCCCUAGCCUGGUAGGGGGCAGGCCUGCUAAGCCUGUGGUCCGUUUGGGCCGCGCGGGUUCAAAUCCCGCACCCCGCGCCA
rnacentral:tRNA from 1 species